rnacentral:rRNA from 1 species
UACAGAGGGUGCGAGCGUUAAUCGGAAUUACUGGGCGUAAAGCGUGCGUAGACGGUUUUGUAAGUCGGAUGUGAAAUCCCCGGGCUCAACCUGGGAAUUGCAUUCGAGACUGCAAGGCCUGGGUGCGGAAGAGGGAAGCGGAAUUUCCGGUGUAGCGGUGAAAUGCGUAGAUAUCGGAAGGAACAUCAGUGGCGAAAGCGGCUUCCUGGUCCAGCACCGACGUUCAGGCACGAAAGCGUGGGGAGCAAACAGG